UUCUCUCUCUCUCUCUCUCUUUUUGUUUUUGAGGCAGAGUUUUGCUCUUGUUGCCCAGGCUGGAAUGCAAUGGCAUGAUCUCAGCUCACCGCAAACUCUGCCUCCCAGGUUCAAGCGAUUCUCCUCCCUCAGCCUCCCAAGUAGCUGGGAUUACAGGCAUGUGCCUCUGUGCCCGGCUGAUUUUGUAUUUUUAGUAGAGAUGGGGUUUCUCCAUGUUGGUCAGGCUGGUCUCCAACUCCUGACCUCAGGUGAUCCAGCCUCCCAAAGUGCUGGGAUUACAGGCAUGAGCCACCGUGCCGGGCAAAUGAAGGUGUCAUUUCAUCCACUGAGCAGUGAAAGAUAAAUGCAUUGCGAAUACAGAAUAAAAAAGACUUUUUUCAAGAAAGCAGGAAGUAGCUGAGCUGAGGGAAGGGCAGAAGAGCCCUCUAUUCCACAGAUUCAUCUGGAAAUUCUGAUCAAAUAGCAACUGCAACGAAUUGCUUGCCAACAAGAAGGAAAUCUGGAGUGCAGGGCAGUUUCAGGAGUGGUUGCUGGAGAGAUUUAACAAUGUCAUUAAUACCCAGAUCCAUUGUGAUUUUCCAAUCUGCUACCUUUAGUAAACUGGUUACUUACCACAUAGUCAUAAUGUGGGUGCAGCACUUCAGAUAUCGUCUACUCACCAAAAGAACCUAAAGCCUGGAU
rnacentral:lncRNA from 10 species